GCGCGGUUAGUAUAGCGGUUUAGUACUCUCGUUUCCCAACGGGUGUGGUGGGCAAAGAAUAACGAGUGACCCGGGUUCGACUCCCGGACUGCGCA